rnacentral:rRNA from 1 species
UUCCGGUUGAUCCCGCCGGACCUGACUGCUAUCGGAUUAAUACUAAGCCAUGCGAGUUUUUGUAGUAAUACAAGGCAUACGGCUCAGUAACACGUAGUCAACCUACCCUAUGGACGAGGAUAAUCUCGGGAAACUGAGCAUAAUACUCGAUAGAUCAUAAUGCCUGGAAUGGUUUAUGGUUGAAAUGAUUCGUUCGCCAUAGGAUGGGACUGCGGCCUAUCAGCUUGUUGGUGGGGUAAUGGCCCACCAAGGCGAUUACAGGUACGGGCUCUGAGAGGAGAAGCCCGGAGAUGGGUACUGAGACACGGACCCAGGCCCUAUGGGGCGCAGCAGGCGAGAAAACUUUGCAAUGUGCGAAAGCACGACAAGGUUAGUCCGAGUGAUUUCUGCUAAAGAAAUCUUUUGCAAGUCGUAAAACCACUAAUGAAUAAGGGGUGGGCAAGUUCUGGUGUCAGCCGCCGCGGUAAAACCAGCACCUCAAGUGGUCAGGAGGAUUAUUGGGCCUAAAGCAUCCGUAGCCUGUUUUGUAAGUCUUCGGUUAAAUCCACAUGCUCAACAUGUGGGCCGCCGGAGAUACUGCAAAACUAGGGAGUGGGAGAGGUAGACGGUACUUGAUAGGAAGGGGUAAAAUCCUUUGAUCUAUUGAUGACCACCUGUGGCGAAGGCGGUCUACCAGAACACGUUCGACGGUGAGGGAUGAAAGCUGGGGGAGCAAACCGGAUUAGAUACCCGGGUAGUCCCAGCUGUAAACGAUGCAGACUCGGUGAUGCAUUGGUUUAUUGCCAGUGCAAUGCCGCAGGGAAGCCGUUAAGUCUGCCGCCUGGGAAGUACGUACGCAAGUAUGAAACUUAAAGGAAUUGGCGGGGGAGCACCACAAGGGGUGAAGCCUGCGGUUCAAUUGGAGUCAACGCCGGGA